GCAGUCGAGCGCCCCGCAAGGGGAGCGGCAGACGGGUGAGUAACGCGUGGGAACAUACCCUUUCCUGCGGAAUAGCUCCGGGAAACUGGAAUUAAUACCGCAUACGCCCUACGGGGGAAAGAUUUAUCGGGGAAGGAUUGGCCCGCGUUGGAUUAGCUAGUUGGUGGGGUAAAGGCCUACCAAGGCGACGAUCCAUAGCUGGUCUGAGAGGAUGAUCAGCCACAUUGGGACUGAGACACGGCCCAAACUCCUACGGGAGGCAGCAGUGGGGAAUAUUGGACAAUGGGCGCAAGCCUGAUCCAGCCAUGCCGCGUGAGUGAUGAAGGCCUUAGGGUUGUAAAGCUCUUUCACCGGAGAAGAAAUGACGGUAUCCGGAGAAAGAAGC
rnacentral:rRNA from 1 species